rnacentral:rRNA from 1 species
UGCAGUCGAACGCUUUGUGGUUCAACUGAUUUGAAGAGCUUGCUCAGAUAUGACGAUGGACAUUGCAAAGAGUGGCGAACGGGUGAGUAACACGUGGGAAACCUACCUCUUAGCAGGGGAUAACAUUUGGAAACAGAUGCUAAUACCGUAUAACAAUGACAACCGCAUGGUUGUUAUUUAAAAGAUGGUUCUGCUAUCACUAAGAGAUGGUCCCGCGGUGCAUUAGCUAGUUGGUAAGGUAAUGGCUUACCAAGGCGAUGAUGCAUAGCCGAGUUGAGAGACUGAUCGGCCACAAUGGGACUGAGACACGGCCCAUACUCCUACGGGAGGCAGCAGUAGGGAAUCUUCCACAAUGGGCGAAAGCCUGAUGGAGCAACGCCGCGUGUGUGAUGAAGGGUUUCGGCUCGUAAAACACUGUUGUAAGAGAAGAAUGACAUUGAGAGUAACUGUUCAAUGUGUGACGGUAUCUUACCAGAAAGGAACGGCUAAAUACGUGCCAGCAGCCGCGGUAAUACGUAUGUUCCAAGCGUUAUCCGGAUUUAUUGGGCGUAAAGCGAGCGCAGACGGUUAUUUAAGUCUGAAGUGAAAGCCCUCAGCUCAACUGAGGAAUUGCUUUGGAAACUGGAUGACUUGAGUGCAGUAGAGGAAAGUGGAACUCCAUGUGUAGCGGUGAAAUGCGUAGAUAUAUGGAAGAACACCAGUGGCGAAGCGGCUUUCUGGACUGUAACUGACGUUGAGGCUCGAAAGUGUGGGUAGCAAACAGGAUUAGAUACCCUGGUAGUCCACACCGUAAACGAUGAGUGCUAGGUGUUUGAGGGUUUCCGCCCUUAAGUGCCGCAGCUAACGCAUUAAGCACUCCGCCUGGGGAGUACGACCGCAAGGUUGAAACUCAAAGGAAUUGA